AGAGUUUGAUCAUGGCUCAGGACGAACGCUGGCGGCGUUAACACAUGCAAGUCAAGGGGGCCCAGCAAUGGGCAACCGGCGAACGGGUGCGUAACACGUGAGCAACCUACCGAACUGUGGGGGAUAGCCGGCCUAACGGCCGAGUAAUACCGCAUACGCUUUCGAUGAGGCAUUUCAUUGAAAGGAAACCUACGGGACAGAUCGAGGGGCUCGCGGCCUAUCAGCUAGUUGGCGAGGUAACGGCUCACCAAGGCGACGACGGGUAGCUGGUCUGAGAGGAUGGCCAGCCACAUUGGGACUGAGAUACGGCCCAGACUCCUACGGGAGGCAGCAGUGGGGAAUCUUGCGCAAUGGCCUAACGGCUGACGCAGCGACGCCGCGUGUGGGAUGAAGCUCUUCGGAGUGUAAACCACUGUUGCCCGGGACGAAUAGCUCGAUUAAUCGAGCCUGACGGUACCGGGUGAGGAAGCACCGGCUAACUCCGUGCCAGCAGCCGCGGUAAUACGGGGGGUGCGAGCGUUGUCCGGAAUCACUGGGCGUAAAGGGCGCGUAGGUGGUUUGAUAAGGGUGUGGUGAAAGUCCGGAGCUCAACUCCGGAUCUGCCGUGCCGACUGUCAAACUCGAGGGCUGUAGAGGCAGACGGAAUUCCGGGUGUAGCGGUGGAAUGCGUAGAGAUCCGGAGGAAGACCGGUGGCGAAGGCGGUCUGCUGGGCAGUUUCUGACACUGAGGCGCGACAGCGUGGGGAGCAAACAGGAUUAGAUACCCUAGUAGUCC
rnacentral:rRNA from 1 species